GGGCGAUUAGCUCAGUUGGCAGAGCAGCUGACUCUUAAUCAGCGGGCCCGGGGUUCGAGCCCCCGAUCGCCCACCA
rnacentral:tRNA from 1 species